rnacentral:rRNA from 1 species
GACGAACGCUGGCGGCGUGCUUAACACAUGCAAGUCGAGCGGUAAGGCCCUUUCGGGGGUACACGAGCGGCGAACGGGUGAGUAACACGUGGGUGACCUGCCCUCAGCUCUGGGAUAAGCCUGGGAAACUGGGUCUAAUACUGGAUAUGACUCCACGGUGCAUGUCGUGGGGUGGAAAGCCUUGUGCGGCUGAGGAUGGGCCCGCGGCCUAUCAGCUUGUUGGUGGGGUGAGGCCUACCAAGGCGACGACGGGUAGCCGGCCUGAGAGGGCGACCGGCCGCACUGGGACUGAGACACGGCCCAGACUCCUACGGGAGGCAGCAGUGGGGAAUCUUGCGCAAUGGGCGAAAGCCUGACGCAGCGACGCCGCGUGA